CUUUCAGGUGUGGAACAGCCAUGUUACUCAGCACCACAGGGUCUUUCCUCACGAUGCUGUUUGCUCCGCCUGGGCUAACCACUCCUGUGUUCGUAAGCAUGAUUGGAGAGUGUGUGAGUCACGGCCCCAGAGGCCUCCAGCACCAGAGAAUCAGCAUAAAUGAGUGAACCUGGAAGAGAAUGUCCCGUCCAUGAAGACAGGAUGUGCGUUCUGCACUGCCCACUGCAGCUGGAACUCAGGACAGAUGAGGAAACGGAGAUUCAGAUGAGUCAAGGAUUCACUCUUAUAAUCUCAACACUUGUGUUGAAGUUCACGUUCUUUCCAUUGUCUGCAUACUGCCUCUUCUCUACCUGUGGGACAGUGAUCUGCACCCAGUAUACAUUCAUUCACUAUUUGCAGAGUCAAAAGGAUAUCAGUAAACCUGGCGCAGGGGAAAAAAAGAGAAAAUUUGUUUUAAAAUAAAGUGUCAAGGUGAUGCAGAAUAUGCAAAAGCACAGAGAAGGACAAAAGUUGAGUGUGUAAAAUGUUAGAAAAGUAAAAAUCCUGCCAACAAAGAGAGACCUCUUCACACCACUAUGGAAAGACAGACACCUGAUUUAUUACUAAGCUCUCCUGGUCACGACAGACCUGCUCGCUAAUGAUGCCUGAGAGAACCUGCAUAGGCAGAUGCUCCUGAUGCGUCAUUUCCAAAGGGUGGCCGGCUUAGGACUGUGAAAGCUCUCCUGGAACCUGCCUAGAAGAACAGUAAUUUAGCCUUGGGGAAGCCCUGGCGCAGGCUGCAAGCAUGUGUUUCUAAGGUGUAGUCAACAUGCCAAGAGCCCCAGGAACCCACGUGAGAACCAGCCCUCGGCCAGGCAAGCACGGUGAGGACAACUCUAGGCAGCCCUCCAGUUUCAAACCCCCAAUGGAUUUUCCUUUACAACUGGAAUCAACCUUUUUAUGUGUUUAAUUUUUGGACUCAGAUGGCUAGGUAAAAGCCUUUUAAACAAUCGUCAGAAAGCUCCAGGCCCAACUUCCUGUGAGCUUCCUUUACUCACACAUCCUCUGGACUCAUUAAAUCUUAUCUGUGACAAAAGACAGUGCCCAACAUUUCCUCUCCAGCUGAGCCUUUGGCCCAAGAGCAUCCAAAGAACUAACACUUUUGAGUCAGGGCCAAGCCACAGACUCGGCAGCAGUCACAGCCAUGGCGAGGACAGAGAGCUGAUGAGGCCCGGGGUCACCAGGGCUCUCUCCAGCAGGAAGCCGGAGCUCCUGUGAUGACAUGGACACAGGAUUUAUAACAUGGGAAGGCUGAACCGGAGCUGUGUGAAGGACACAGAUGAUGUCACAAGUACUUCAGGGGCUGGGCUCUACCGCUGGUUGCUUCGGCUGAGGCACAAGUGUGGUUGGAAAUUGUAAGCAUUCGAGACGUGGGUCAACUCAAGCCAAGAAAUAUUUGCCAGAUUUACUCCCAUUCAUCUCUCUUCAUUCAUAUUGUCGUGCUUUCUUCUCAAAUGGAUUUUGACACAGAUGUUGGAAACAAGUGGACAGAGAAAAAAGACUCUCAGAUUUAUUGAGUAUCCAUUGUCCAGACUGCAGGGUUUUGGUGUUUUCCUUGACCUUGUGUCUACGGGAUUGGUACCAUGGCACGCAGUGUGUGACUGUCAUCUAGCUGGAGGCAGCUUCUGCAAUAAAGGGUCUCGUGCACUGUGUGCACUGUGUGAAAGUAAGGUAGUGAUCAGCAAGUAUUCUGCUCUGGUGACAGCAUUCUGGCUAGUAUGGUAACGAAACUUUACCUGAUUUUACCUGAAAUGACUCUAGCAAGAUUUACCUGUUUCGUAUAAGCUGAGUAUGUGGCUCUUUCUUUUGAGAAUAUCAGACAUAUAUAGGAGUGAAUCAAAAGUGUUUCUCUCUCUCUCUCCUUCUGUAGAGAUAUACUAUUUUACAUAAAGCUAGUACAACUGCAGAGUGAAUGCUACUGGAUAUUUUUUCCUAGAGUAUUCUGUACUCCAGGAAAUUAUAAACUUCCAAUUGAGAAGUACAGACUAUUAGCUGAUUGGACACUUAUUUUAUUUCAGUAUUUAUUAUUAAGUCUAGCCAAAGUUAUAAUAACAAUGAAGCUAUUUUCUCUAAAACAAAGAAAUAUUUUAAACAAAAGAAAGACACCAUCCUGUAGUCCUUAAAUCACAGACAGUACCUUUUAUGCAUAUCUAUUUGCCCAUUAAUACUCUGAUCAAAAGAGCCUGUCCAGACAAUGAGAAAGUGUAUAAAUUUAAUGAAAUGUCAUGUUAUUUCUGGUAUGACUUGUUUUUCUGGACAAGGUGGUAUAGAGGACAGCCAGAGAGAGAAAACAUUGACUGAAAAGACUAGAGUCAUGCUGAUAACUUUUUCAGAGAAACCAUGGAGGGGUCUGCCUGGUUGAGAUAAAAAAUCAGAAAUAAAAGGAGGUGAAC